rnacentral:rRNA from 1 species
AUGAACGCUGGCGGCGUGCCUAAUACAUGCCAGUCGAGCGAACGGACGAGAAGCUUGCUUCUCUGAUGUUAGCGGCGGACGGGUGAGUAACACGUGGAUAACCUACCUAUAAGACUGGGAUAACUUCGGGAAACCGGAGCUAAUACCGGAUAAUAUUUUGAACCGCAUGGUUCAAAAGUGAAAGACGGUCUUGCUGUCACUUAUAGAUGGAUCCGCGCUGCAUUAGCUAGUUGGUAAGGUAACGGCUUACCAAGGCAACGAUGCAUAGCCGACCUGAGAGGGUGAUCGGCCACACUGGAACUGAGACACGGUCCAGACUCCUACGGGAGGCAGCAGUAGGGAAUCUUCCGCAAUGGGCGAAAGCCUGACGGAGCAACGCCGCGUGAGUGAUGAAGGUCUUCGGAUCGUAAAACUCUGUUAUUAGGGAAGAACAUAUGUGUAAGUAACUGUGCACAUCUUGACGGUACCUAAUCAGAAAGCCACGGCUAACUACGU